rnacentral:rRNA from 1 species
CCCUUAGAUGUUCUGGGCCGCACGCGCGCUACACUGAUGCAUUCAACGAGUCUAAAACCUGCUCUGAUAGGGGUGGGUAAUCUUUUGAAUGUGCAUCGUGAUUGGGAUAGAUGAUUGCAAUUUUUCAUCUUCAACGAGGAAUGCCUAGUAAACGCAAGUCAUCAGCUUGCAUUGAUUACGUCCCUGCCCUUUGUACACACCGCCCGUCGCUCCUACCGAUUGGGUGUGCUGGUGAAAUGUUCGGAUCGGCCGUUUGUCGCGGUUUCCGCGGCUCGUGGCUGAGAAGUUCAUUAAACCCUCCCACCUAGAGGAAGGAGAAGUCGUAACA